GGGCUGCGCCGGAGCCUUCGCCGUCCGCCGCAGGUCUACGAGGUGCCUCUCCCCAUGUGACGUGUUCCUGCCGCCUGGGAGGGCGACCACCUGCCGAGACUCGGCGUCCAGCCGCCAGAGCGUCCAGCCGCCGGGGGCGCACGCCUGGAAGUCUGCAGCCCUCGCACGGCUCCCCAGAAAGCCAGGAAGAAGUCUAAAUUCGAAAGCAAAGGAACACCGAACUGUUUUUCUGGUAGACAAACCCUUGCAACAUUAAAAAAAAACAUGGAGAGCUGAUGGAUGUGUAAGAACGCGAUGAUACACUAGUCUCCUUCUGUGCCGAGCCAAUGGCGUGGUGUUUGAUUUAAAAUAACUGAGGGCAUAAGCUCAGGGAGGAGAAACGGGUUUGAAAGGGGAUCAGCCACAGCCGUCCGGAGUCCACCAGAGUCCCCAAGGCUGCGUUGCUGCUUUAGGUAAUGGGGGAGGGGGGCUGCGGAGCUCAGGGGGUGGGGAGUCAUUGCACCUUCUGAGUAGAGACAUCACACCUGACUUCCAGAGAGCUGCCUGCCCGCCAGUCAGUCAGCCAGCCAGUUCACCCUCCAGGUAAGAGAGGGCACGGCGGGCCGCCGGACUCCCUGGGAGCAUGAUGCUGCUGCGUUUCUCUUUCUAGGUUUAAGAUAUAUUUCUAGGCACUUUGGAAAAGAAAUCUAACUUUACCUAGAUUCGAGACCUAAGUCUCUCCCUUACAUAAUGGGUUUCAUGCUGUCCGUGGCAGAAUACGCAUUAUGGAGGAUUAUUCAGGGGAAAGAUAAACGGGUGUCCGCGGGGGUGGUUUUAGGACCCGCAUGUCAUGCGGGAGAUUGAGGACGGGCGAGGGAGCGGAACCCGGCCAGCGAGUGGUGGUCCUGUCCGCGGACUCAGCCCGCCGCCGCUGCUUGGUUUAGCUGUUACUCGGCGCGGCCCGGGAGAACAGCGCCUUCGAAACCGCUGCGAAUCGCACACGCGGAAACCUUCACCCACUGGGUGGUCCCAGUUCGUUCGGACGCCCUCUGGAGAACCAAAGUGUUCAUUCAGCUUGUGAUACAGUAAAUCGCGGAUACACGAACACACUACCGGCGGUGCCAGGUUCUUCCUAAAAGCGACCUUCAUGUUGGACCUGCGAAGAUUCUUUUAAGAAAACAAAACCCUCCUUCAUUAGAAUAAACUCUUAAGUAUCGGGGGCACUGUAUAGUUUUUCAACAAACAGCACACGCGUGUCGAUGUCCAAGAACAAACCCCGCCAAGAUGGCUAGAAUGUAGAUUUCCAAAUCUUUCCAGAAAAUACAAUUUCCUUGUAAAAUCGUAAGGGCUCA